AAGUCGUAACAAGGUCUCCGUAGGUGAACCUGCGGAGGGAUCAUUAACACGUAUCCAAUACGUCCCACCUUCAAACCCCAAACCGUGCACUAAAUAUCCCCACUCGGAUGCUUCGACGAGCUGUGGACCAUGGGUGAUAGACUUCGGUCUGUUCACAGCUCUGCGUGUCCAGAUCCAGACCUCUUCGGGGGAAUGGAGCCUGAGAUGCGAGUCGGUCUGUUGUGGUUGUAUCCCAGUCACCUGGCUUUUAGGCCAACCCUGUUUCGACCAGGAGCCUCUAAGCCUUAGUACUCCCAAUUUUAACCCCUUUUUGAAACCUAUCUGAUUUUAUGCUCUUUACUCUUCUGAGUGAGAACAUAUACGAAACCGCGAACAACUCUUAGCAACGGAUAUCUUGGUUCUC
rnacentral:misc_RNA from 1 species